rnacentral:lncRNA from 10 species
GUAAGACCAUCUAUGUAGAGAAAAUGCACUUUUUGCCUAAACCAGAGGAAUAAGGAGGAAGAGGUGGCAUUCUACAGAUGUGAAGGCAAUUUAUCUGUGAAGCUGAGGGACUCGGGAUGUGGAGGGAGAAAGGGAGGGAAGCACCCAAGAUUGUUGUGCAGGAGCUAAGCUUAGCUGGGGACCACGGGAGGCGCCUUUACCUGGGGCGGGACCUUCCUUAGGUGGGGGUUGAGGAAGAAGCGGCCAGGCUUGGCUUCCAUCGAGGUUUCUGUAUCUGGGUGAUACCUGGUGAUGUGUCGACAGGCAGUGGGUUAAGAAGGCCUCAAUUUCAGGAAAGGACUAUGGCCUGGUCACAUACAUUAGCGAGCUGUCUACAUAGAGGUGGCAGUUUACAUCUUGAGAAUGGUUGCUUCCAGGAAAAGAGUAUAGGAUGAGAAAAGCAGUAGGAAUGAAGAAUGAAAGCCCCGCCUCAGGCGUGGGUGAAACCUUUUACCAUAACCAGAGGUGCUGGGCCAUUGGGAAAAUGUGUCAUUAUUAAUAAAGCUUCCGCCACCCCUCUUCUGGGUUGAAUUUUUCCCCCCAUCAAACAUCCUAUGUUGAGGUCCUAACCCCCAACACCUCAGAAUGGGGCCCUGUUUGGAAAGAGGUUCCUUAGAGGUAAUCAGUCAAGACGACGUCACACUGGAGUAGGAUGGGCCCCUAAUCUAACACGACUGUGUUCUUAUAAAAAGAAGGCCAGGUGAAGAAGCCGACACACAGGAGAACGCUGCAUGGAGACUGGAGUUCUGCUGCCAAGGAAUCGGUGGAAGCCAGGAAAGAGCCUGCAACAGAUCCUUCCGCCGCACCUCCAGAAGAAGCACAGCCCUGGGGACUGCUGGAUCUUACACUUCUGGCUUCCAGAACAGGAGACCAUGAAGAUAAGAGGAGUGUGGACACUGACCCUGGUCUCCUGGUGAAAGUCCUGUGGAGGCAAUCCAGCUCUGCUCUAAGUAUUAGGAGUGCAUUAGCUUCUUUUUGUUUAGUGUUCUUCUUGGACCAAUCUUGUCUUUAUGUGGAAAUACUAAACACAAAGCAGUAAGAUUCCAUGUUGUACCUAAAGGAAAAUGCACAAAUUUGUCCACUGUACCUACUUUGGUUCUCCAGCCUUAGGAAAAAUGUACUCUCCAUGUAGUUAGACUAGAACACCACACUACGUUCUUUUCAGCCUCUCUCUCUCGCUCUCUCUCCUCUCUCCAUAAGGCUGUGUGUUGAAGAUAAAAGAAUUUAGAAAUUAAGGUCCACACUCUCUGCAGACCUCCUUAUAUUAUUUGUUCCUCUGGUCCUCAGAAAGACAACAGUGGUUCCUCAGGUCCCCAGGAGAGACCUAGUUUAGUUUAUCCAUCGCCAACUAAAUCUUCUUUAUAGAAUAUACAGUUGUCUCUCAGCAUCCAUGGAGGAUUGGUCUGAGGACCCCUCUAGUAUACCAAAAUCCACAGAUGCUCAAAUCUCUGAUAUAAAAUAGUAUAUUUGCAUAUAACCUAUGCACAUUCUCUCCUCAUACUUUAAAUCAUCUCUAGAUUACUUAUAACACUUCAUACAGUAAAGAUGAUAUGUAAAUAGUCUUUAUACUAUGUUUUCAUAGAAUCAUGACAAGAAAAAACGUUGUACUGUACAGGUUCACUACAGACCCAACCAUCCAUUUCUUAAAAAUAUUUUCAAUUCUUGGUUGGUUGAAUCCACAGAUUCAGAAUCCAUGAAUACAGAAACUCAACUAUACUUGGAACGAAUGUGGUGAUAUUAAAAGUCUGUUAAGACUUUUUUUUUUUUUUUUUAAAUGCAGUCUUGCUUUCUCACCCAGGGUGGAGCGCAAUGGUGUGAGCUCAGCUCACUGCAACCUCCACCUCCUAGGUUCAAGCAAUUCUCCUACCUCAGCUUCUCAACUAGCUAGGAUUGCAGGCCUGCACCGUGUCCAGAAUUUGUUCCUUCUGGUGGGUUCAUGGUCUGGCUGACUUCAAGAAUGAAGCCGCAGACCUUCAGGUGAGUGUUACAGCUCUUAAAGGUGGCGAGGGCCCAAAAAAUGAGCAGCAGUAAGAUUAAUUGUGAAGAGUAAAAAAAACAAAGCUCCAUGAAAGAGAACCGGUACCGGUUGCUGCCGCUGGCUGGGGCGGUCAACUUUUAUUGCCUUAUUUGUCCCUGCCCAUGUCCUGCUGAUUGGUCCAUUUUACAGAGUGCUGAUUGGUCCAUUUUACAAACGUCCAGCUAGCCACAGAGCACUGAUUGGUGCAUUUUACAAACCUCUAGCUAGCCACAGAGCAACCAUUGGUGUGUUUUUACAGAGCACUGAUUGAUUGGUGCAUUUUACAAACCACGUGGAAGAAAAGUUCUUCAAGUCCUCACCCGACACAGAAGUCCAGCUGGCUUCACCUCUCACCACCAUGCCUAGCUAAUUUUUGUAUGUUUAGUAGAGACAGGCUUUCCCCAUGUUGGCCAGGCUGGUCUCAAACUCCUGACCUCAGGUGAUCUGCCUGCCUCAGCCUCCCACAGUGCUGGGAUUACAGGCAUGAGCCACCGCACUGGCCAACUUUUCUUGAAAAUCUCUCAUUUUUUGAAACUCCAUCUAGUUCUCAGAGACUCAGAUCUCUCUGAUCUUAUUAUUCCAGCACUUCAACAUGUGUGGUUUCUUUUUUAUGGUGGGGGAGUGGCGAAGUCUCGCUCUUAUCCCCCAGGCUGGAGUGCAAUGGCUCGAUCUCCGCUCACAGCAACCUCCACCUCCAGGGUUCAAGCAAUUCUCUUGCCUCAACCUCCAGAGUAGCUGGGAUUACAGGCACCUGCCACCACGCCCGGCUAAUUUUUGUAUAUUUAGUAGAGACGGGGUUUCACCAUGUUGGCCAGGCUGGUCUCCAUCUCCUGACCUCAGGUGAUCCGCCUGCCUUGGCCUCCCAAAGUGCUGGGAUUACAGGCGUGAGCCACCGCGCCCGGCCGUGGUUUCUGAGGUUUCCACGACAGAGGAAGAGUUGCCAGAGUUGCAAUAUUCUUAACUGCUUCAUGCCAGAAGAGACAUAUAUCCUUCUCUUCAGAGUCCAUUGACAAUAACUAAGCACACCGCCUGUCCUAAAAGCAGGGGAAUCCAGGGAGUGUAGAGGAGAACAUGGAGUAUUUGGUAGCCCUUGUCUUUGCCAAACUCCUUAUCCUCAUUCAGCAAAAUUAGGAUUAAAGCUGAAUUUGAUGGUGAGGUCUUCAUGGAUGCAAUAGUCCACUAAUUUUGUACCUAUUUAAUUGUCCUCCAUCUGAGUGGACUGAAGGAGACUCACAUACUAGGCUACUGGCAAUUUGGCCAGCACAACAGGUGCACCAGGUUCCUCCUAAGGUGGAAAAAUUUGGGUCAAAAUUAAUGAUAAAUGAAAAAAAAAGAGAUAAUACCUGAAUGCAAAGUGUGGAAUAUAUGGACACUGUUGAAGGGAAUAUCCAGCACUAUAUCAGUGCCUUGAGAGUUCCUCAGAGCAAGAGAAUAAUGUUUUCUCUCAGCUUAAAUUCCAGAUGUUCAGAGGGGGACGUAAUACUUUUGCUAACGUUGCACCAAUUCUGAAAUCUUACUAAGUAGAAAGGCAACCAGCAUCCCUAAGUGCCAUCUCUCCAGGGGACACAUUUCUCCCAUGUUGUGCUAAAGAAAAAGGAACAAUUCCUGAUGAGUAAGCAGGACUCUUUUUUUUUCUUCCAAUGCAAAACAUUUUAAUAGGUAGUCAAAUAUACAGUUAUUAGAAUUAUGUAAAUAUCACGUAUAAAAAUUGGUAUAACACAUUAGAUGAUUCUAUGAAAUAAAAACACAAAUCACACAUUGACAAUAACCCCUGCAGUCCAAAUACACCCCCACAAUACGACAAAUUACAAACACAUUUAAAAAAAAAACCCUACAGACAUUUAUACAUUUAACAAAGUAACUGUGACUAGACUAAAUACAUUCAUUCAUCAAGUACAAUAAAUUUAGCAUUGCUGCUUAUAGUCACUAAUAACACAAUUUUAGGUGCAAUUUCACAUGCUUUCAUAAAUCUUCCAGUACAGUUCCCAUAGUAAAGUGUCUUUGUGCACACCAUUUCCAUUUAUCUGCAGGUGCAUCAUACAUCAUACUUAAAACUAUUUCACUUCACCAACUGUUAAUAUAUAUUUUAAGUGGAGAGCAGGUAAAAAAUUUAAACCUCAAUGAUGACAAAAUUUAAAAUUAAAGAAAAGUCUUGAAAGCCUACAGUGAUUUGUUUACUUGCAUAAGUAAUAUUUUCACUUAGUACAGGCUAUUAAAAUAAGUAAUGAGAAUUUAAAUAUUAACUCAAAAAAAGAUAGAGGCUCCAAACUUUUCUAAGAAAUUAAUGCAUUUUCAAUAUAAUCAGUCUGUAAGUCAAAAGUAAUUCCAUAUUCAUUGCCAAAUUUAAAAUACCAGUGAUGUGAAGACUGAGGCCUAAAACUGUUGUGCUAAAUUGUAAAAUACAGUAAAGAAGAUGCAGCUCAUUUGCUUGGGAAUAUGUAAUGGAAUGUUUUCCACAGUAAUGUUUAUGUUAAACAUUACUUUAAAUGGGCAGUCUAAAUAAACAUACCUUUGCCAGCAAGGAAAGUGAAAAAUUAAGGCUUUUCUAUGCUAUCUGUAACUACUACCCAAACUUAAAUAGAGGUUACAAUACUGCAAAAUAUUACUUCUAACUUCAACUAUUGUUGGCUGCUUCAUUUCAACCUUAUUAUCUUAUUUACAUGCCUAUUUUUCUAUAUCUCUAUUUCAAUUAAGUCCCCAAUCCCACCCUAUCCAAAGAGAAUGCUGAAAAUGGUUAGGCCCUUACCUGUUUGGUUCACAGUUGUAAUACUGGGGGCUAAAAAUGCUUAACACAUGGCAUAAAUCCAAGAAAUACCUUUGAAUGAACUAGAAGCCUGGCCUCCAAAGGCAACCCCACUUGUUUUUCCAAAGCAUUAACAGAUAAUUGUUACCUCUUUAGAUAACCAGAUUGACAAUUAUUAAAAAGGAAUCGGUGUUUCCUAGGCUAUGAAAACAUCAAAAACAUGUAAUAGAAAGGGUAACUUAGGGUACAAACGUAUCAAAUCAAAGCUAAAGGCACUGGAGAAAGAAGGUAAGCAUUGUAAACAAUUUUUAAAGCAAAUCAAGUUUUAAAGUAUAAAACGCCAAGCUACUAAGAGAAAAUGUAUUAAAAUGAUGACAAUGUUUUACUAUAGUGGACACAAUUCCUGUAAUUUCGCAAACAGAAUUCUUUCGUUGUUCUAUCGUUUUCUUUCAUCCUACAUCUUCUAUAAUAUUCCAACCCCUAAAAACAAAUGCAUUUUCAGCUGUGUGAAACAAAAAAAUGCAACUGAAGUAUCUAUGGAAAUUCCUUUCUCUUAAAUGAUGUUAUAAAUUUGAUACAUAAACUUGAUAGACAUAAGAACAUCAUCUUGGAAAUCAUAAAAUACUAAAUUAUGCUCAAUCGAAAUACAAAGGUUCUUAUUCAGUUGAACAGUUUAGAGCCCCAUAAGAACAAAUUGUAGUGUAAAGAGGAAAAGUAAGUACAAUCUUUCCAGACACACAAAACAAAGAAUAAUGAAUACUGAGUUGAAAUACCACAAGCUCCACAUUAGAGCCAUUUAAUAUACACAUUUUCAUAACUGUUUCUUGAAAAACUAUUUAGGUAAAAUAUUUAGAAUUUAUCAUUUAUUUUAAUUUAUUUGAAUCUAUGCAAUGUCCAUCC